rnacentral:rRNA from 1 species
UUAAGAAUCUUGCACAAUGGGCGCAAGCCUGAUGCAGCGACGCCGCGUGAAUGAUGAAGGCUUUAGGGUUGUAAAGUUCAGUAAGCAGGGAAGAAUAAGCGCCGGGUAAUAUUCGGUGUGAUGACGGUACCUGCCUAAAGCCCCGGCUAACUACGUGCCAGCAGCCGCGGUAAUACGUAUGGGGCGAGCGUUGUUCGGAAUUAUUGGGCGUAAAGGGCGUCUAGGCGGGGAUUUAAGUUAGGUGUGAAAGCUAUGGGCUCAACCCAUAAACUGCAUCUAAAACUGGAUCUCUUGAGUUCGGGAGAGGAGAGCGGAAUUCCAGGUGUAGCGGUGAAAUGCGUAGAUAUCUGGAAGAACACCAGUGGCGAAGGCGGCUCUCUGGCCUAGAACUGACGCUGAAGCGCGAAAGCGUGGGGAGCGAACA